rnacentral:rRNA from 1 species
UACAGGGGGUGCAAACGUUGCUCGGAAUCAUUGGGCGUAAAGCGCACGUAGGCGGUUCGUUAUGUCGGAUGUGAAAGCCCUUGGCUUAACCGAGGAAGUGCAUCCGAAACUGGCGAGCUAGAGUACUAAAGAGGAUCGCGGAAUUCCCGGUGUAGAGGUGAAAUUCGUAGAUAUCAGGAGGAACACCGGUGGCGAAGGCGGGUCUCUGGGCCAUUACUGACGCUGAGGAGCGAAAGCGUGGGGAGCGAACAGG